AUUGAACGCUGGCGGCAGGCCUAACACAUGCCAGUCGAGCGGAUGAAGGGAGCUUGUUCCUGGAUUCAGCGGCCGACGGGUGAGUAAUGCCUAGGAAUCUGCCUGGCCGUGGGGGAUAACGUCCGGACACGGGCGCUAAUACCGCACACGAUCUGAUGGAGAAAGUGGGGGAUCUUCGGACCUCACGCUAUCAGCUGAGCCUAGGUCGGAUUAGCUAGUUGGUGAGGUAAAGGCUUACCAAGGCGACGAUCCGUAACUGGUCUGAGAGGAUGAUCAGACACACUGGAACUGAGACACGGUCCAGACUCCUACGGGAGGCAGCAGUAGGGAAUAUUCGGCAAUGGGCGAAAGCCUGAUCGAGCAAUGCCGCGUGUGUGAAGAAGGUCUUCGGAUUGUAAAGCACUGUAAGUAGGGAGGAAGGACAGUAAAUUAAUCUCUGCCUGUUUUGACGGUACCAACAGAGAAAGCACCGGCUAACUUCGUG
rnacentral:rRNA from 1 species